rnacentral:rRNA from 1 species
UACAGAGGUGGCAAGCGUUGUUCGGAAUUACUGGGCGUAAAGGGCGCGUAGGCGGUCCGAUAAGUCCCGUGUGAAAGCCCCGGCUCAACUGGGGAACUGCACGGGAAACUGACGGACUUGAGUUCGGGAGAGGGAAGCGGAAUUCCGGGUGUAGCGGUGAAAUGCGUAGAUAUCCGGAGGAACACCGGUGGCGAAGGCGGCUUCCUGGACCGACACUGACGCUGAGGCGCGAAAGCUAGGGGAGCAAACGGG